rnacentral:SRP_RNA from 1 species
GCCCAGGUCUUGCGCAAGGCGGCCUCGUGAAUCUCGUCAGGUCCGGAAGGAAGCAGCGAUAAGCGAUCAGCCGUUUGUGCCGCGAGGUAGCCGGGGGGCU